AUACGUAGGGGGCGAGCGUUGUCCGGAAUGAUUGGGCGUAAAGGGCGCGUAGGCGGCCCGGUAAGUCUGGAGUGAAAGUCCUGUUUUUAAGAUGGGAAUUGCUUUGGAUACUGUCGGGCUUGAGUGCAGGAGAGGUAAGUGGAAUUCCCAGUGUAGCGGUGAAAUGCGUAGAGAUUGGGAGGAACACCAGUGGCGAAGGCGACUUACUGGACUGUAACGGACGCUGAGGCGCGAAAGUGUGGGGAGCAAACAGGAUUAGAUACCCUGGUAGUCCACACUGUAAACGAUGAAUGCUAGGUGUAGGGGGUAUCGACCCCUUCUGUGCCGCAGUCAACACAAUAAGCAUUCCGCCUGGGGAGUACGGCCGCAAGGUUGAAACUUAAAGGAAUUGACGGGG
rnacentral:rRNA from 1 species